rnacentral:rRNA from 1 species
UACGUAGGGUGCAAGCGUUAAUCGGAAUUACUGGGCGUAAAGCGUGCGCAGGCGGUGAUGUAAGACAGUUGUGAAAUCCCCGGGCUCAACCUGGGAACUGCAUCUGUGACUGCAUCGCUGGAGUGCGGCAGAGGGGGAUGGAAUUCCGCGUGUAGCAGUGAAAUGCGUAGAUAUGCGGAGGAACACCGAUGGCGAAGGCAAUCCCCUGGGCCUGCACUGGACGCUCAUGCACGAAAGCGUGGGAG